AGAGUUUGAUCCUGGCUCAGAUUGAACGCUGGCGGAAUGCUUUACACAUGCAAGUCGAACGGCAGCACGGGAGCUUGCUCCUGGUGGCGAGUGGCGAACGGGUGAGUAAUGCGUCGGAACGUACCGAGUAAUGGGGGAUAACGCACCGAAAGGUGUGCUAAUACCGCAUACGCCCUCCGGGGGAAAGCAGGGGAUCGUAAGACCUUGCGUUAUUCGAGCGGCCGACGUCUGAUUAGCUAGUUGGUGGGGUAAAGGCCUACCAAGGCGACGAUCAGUAGCGGGUCUGAGAGGAUGAUCCGCCACACUGGAACUGAGACACGGUCCAGACUCCUACGGGAGGCAGCAGUGGGGAAUUUUGGACAAUGGGGGCAACCCUGAUCCAGCCAUUCCGCGUGAGUGAAGAAGGCCUUCGGGUUGUAAAGCUCUUUCAGCUGGAACGAAACGGUACGCUCUAACAUAGCGUGCUAAUGACGGUACCAGCAGAAGAAGCACCGGCUAACUACGUGCCAGCAGCCGCGGUAAUACGUAGGGUGCGAGCGUUAAUCGGAAUUACUGGGCGUAAAGCGUGCGCAGGCGGAUUGUUAAGCAAGACGUGAAAUCCCCGGGCUUAACCUGGGAAUGGCGUUUUGAACUGGCAGUCUAGAGUGUGUCAGAGGGGGGUAGAAUUCCACGUGUAGCAGUGAAAUGCGUAGAGAUGUGGAGGAAUACCAAUGGCGAAGGCAGCCCCCUGGGAUAACACUGACGCUCAUGUACGAAAGCGUGGGUAGCAAACAGGAUUAGAUACCCUGGUAGUCCACGCCCUAAACGAUGUCAACUGGUUGUUGGGGGAGUGAAAUCCCUUAGUAACGAAGCUAACGCGUGAAGUUGACCGCCUGGGGGGUACGGUCGCAAGAUUAAAACUCAAAGGAAUUGACGG
rnacentral:rRNA from 1 species